UUGAACGCUGGCGGCAUGCCUUACACAUGCAAGUCGAACGGUAGAGGGGCAACCCUUGAGAGUGGCGAACGGGUGAGUAAUAUAUCGGAACGUGCCCAGUCGUGGGGGAUAACGCAGCGAAAGCUGCGCUAAUACCGCAUACGAUCUAAGGAUGAAAGCGGGGGAUCGCAAGACCUCACGCGAUUGGAGCGGCCGAUAUCAGAUUAGGUAGUUGGUGGGGUAAAAGCCCCACCAAGCCGACGAUCUGUAGCUG
rnacentral:rRNA from 1 species